rnacentral:rRNA from 1 species
AUUGAACGCUGGCGGCAGGCCUAACACAUGCAAGUCGAGCGGAUGACGGGAGCUUGCUCCUUGAUUCAGCGGCGGACGGGUGAGUAAUGCCUAGGAAUCUGCCUGGUAGUGGGGGACAACGUUUCGAAAGGAACGCUAAUACCGCAUACGUCCAACGGGAGAAAGCAGGGGACCUUCGGGCCUUGCGCUAGCAGAUGAGCCUAGGUCGGAUUAGCUAGUAGGUGAGGUAAUGGCCCACCUAGGCGCCCAUCCGUAACUGGUCUGAGAGGAUGAUCAGUCACACUGGAACUGAGACACGGUCCAGACUCCUACGGGAGGCAGCAGUGGGGAAUAUUGGACAAUGGGCGAAAGCCUGAUCCAGCCAUGCCGCGUGUGUGAAGAAGGUCUUCGGAUUGUAAAGCACUUUAAGUUGGGAGGAAGGGCAGUAAGCUAAUACCUUGCUGUUUUGACGUUACCGACAGAAUAAGCACCGGCUAACUCUGUGCCAGCAGCCGCCGUAACAC